rnacentral:rRNA from 1 species
UACGUAGGUGGCAAGCAUUGUCCGGAUUUACUGGGCGUAAAGAGCGCGCAGGCGGUCGAUCAAGUCGCGUGUGAAAGCCCCCGGCUCAACUGGGGAGGGUCACGCGAUACUGAUCGACUCGAAGGCAGGAGAGGGUAGUGGAAUUCCCGGUGUAGUGGUGAAAUGCGUAGAUAUCGGGAGGAACACCAGUGGCGAAGGCGACUACCUGGCCUGUUCUUGACGCUGAGGCGCGAAAGCUAGGGGAGCAAACGGG